rnacentral:misc_RNA from 1 species
AAGUCGUAACAAGGUUUCCGUAGGUGAACCUGCGGAAGGAUCAUUAACACUUACUGUCUAUUGAUGUUUUUCAAAACACUCGAUUGACAUGUAUGACAACAAAACCGUGCUCCCUUUUUUUCCCACACCUUCACCAAUAUUACAUAUCAUGUUUUUAUUAACAGCUUCACUUUUUAAUCGAAGCGAAGUUAGUUGUAAGUAAUGUAAUAGUUAUAUAUGUAACAGUUGUUGCAUAUAUACCUAUGACAGACACAAACAACUGUUAACAAUGGAUAUCUAGGCUCUC